rnacentral:rRNA from 1 species
CACCGCGGUUAUACGAGAGACCCAAGUUGUUAGGCACCGGCGUAAAGGGUGGUUAAGGCAAACAUCCAAACUAAAGCCGAACAUCUUCCAAGCCGUCAUACGCACACGAAGACAAGAAGCCCAAUAACGAAAGUGGCUCUAACCUGCCUGAACCCACGAAAGCUAUGACA